rnacentral:rRNA from 1 species
AUUGAACGCUGGCGGUAUGCCUUACACAUGCAAGUCGAACGGUAGAGGGGCAACCCUUGAGAGUGGCGAACGGGUGAGUAAUACAUCGGAACGUGCCCAGUCGUGGGGGAUAACGUAGCGAAAGCUACGCUAAUACCGCAUACGACCUGAGGGUGAAAGCGGGGGAUCGCAAGACCUCGCGCGAUUGGAGCGGCCGAUGGCAGAUUAGGUAGUUGGUGGGGUAAAGGCCUACCAAGCCUGCGAUCUGUAGCUGGUCUGAGAGGACGACCAGCCACACUGGGACUGAGACACGGCCCAGACUCCUACGGGAGGCAGCAGUGGGGAAUUUUGGACAAUGGGCGAAAGCCUGAUCCAGCCAUACCGCGUGCGGGAAGAAGGCCUCGGGUUGUAAACCGCUUUGUCAGGGAAGGAAAUACUUCUGGGCUAAUACCUCGGAGGAUGACGGUACCUGAAGAAUAAGCACCGGCUAACUACGUGCCAGCAGCCGCGGUAAU